CAUGCUCUUUCUGGUAUUUUUUUCCAUCAAAGCUGCCUGUGGAUUUUAACAAGUGACAAGCUCAGUGCUGGGAACAGCCGAAAAGCCUGGAGACGUACAUGCCUCGGUGUAGUCCCUGGUGCUACGCAUUGCAACAGCUCCUUGAACGUCAGAAGUCAGCUAUAGUGAGUCCGUAACAAGAUCUACAAGGUUUACCUACUACCCUGUGGCGAGAUGAUUGCACACAAUUGGGGAAGUGAUGCUGUCUUGUGGGCUAGUGAG
rnacentral:lncRNA from 1 species